rfam:Oryza sativa Japonica Group DNA, chromosome 2, cultivar: Nipponbare, complete sequence.
CCAAUGACCCGCCGGAUCUCCUAGUGAGGAGGCCGGGACCGCCGGAUCCGGUGACCCCGGUCUCCUCGCCGGCGGAUCCGGCGCCCAGA